UACGUAGGGUGCGAGCGUUGUCCGGAAUUAUUGGGCGUAAAGAGCUCGUAGGCGGUGUGUCACGUCGGCCGUGAAAACCUGCAGCUUAACUGUGGGCGUGCGGUCGAUACGGGCAUCACUGGAGUUCGGCAGGGGAGACUGGAAUUCCUGGUGUAGCGGUGAAAUGCGUAGAUAUCAAGAGGAACACCAGUGGCGAAGGCAGAUCUCUGGGCCGUAACUGACGCUGAGGAGCGAAAGCAUGGGGAGCGAACAGG
rnacentral:rRNA from 1 species